AAGCAGUCUCAGUUCGGAUUGAAGGCUGAAAUUCGCCUUCAUGAAGCCGGAAUUGCUAGUAAUGGCAGGUCAGCAUACUGCCGUGAAUACGUUCCCGGGCCUUGUACACACCGCCCGUCACACCAUGAGAGUUGGGGGUGCCUGAAGUUCGUGACCGCAAGGAGCGACCUAGGGCAAAACUAAUGACUGGGGCUAAGUCGUAACAAGGUACC
rnacentral:rRNA from 1 species